rnacentral:rRNA from 1 species
AUACGUAGGGGGCAAGCGUUAUCCGGAAUCAUUGGGCGUAAAGAGUGCGUAGGUGGUUUCUUAAGCGUGGGGUUUAAGGCUACGGCUUAACCGUAGUUCGCCCCAUGAACUGGGAGACUUGAGUGCAGGAGGGGAAAGUGGAAUUCCUAGUGUAGCGGUGAAAUGCGCAGAUAUUAGGAGGAACACCAGUGGCGAAGGCGACUUUCUGGACUGUAACUGACACUGAGGCACGAAAGCGUGGGGAGCAAACAGGAUUAGAUACCCUGGUAGGCCACGCCGUAAACGAUGAGCACUAGGUGUCGGGGAGACAAUCCUCGGUGCCGCAGUUAACGCAUUAAGUGCUCCGCCUGGGGAGUACGUUCGCAAGAAUAAAACUCAAAGGAAUUGACGGGG